rnacentral:rRNA from 1 species
AUUGAACGCUGGCGGCAUGCCUUACACAUGCAAGUCGAACGGUAACAGGUCUUCGGAUGCUGACGAGUGGCGAACGGGUGAGUAAUACAUCGGAACGUGCCCGAUCGUGGGGGAUAACGAAGCGAAAGCUUUGCUAAUACCGCAUACGAUCUACGGAUGAAAGCAGGGGACCGCAAGACCUUGCGCGAACGGAGCGGCCGAUGGCAGAUUAGGUAGUUGGUGGGAUAAAAGCUUACCAAGCCGACGAUCUGUAGCUGGUCUGAGAGGACGACCAGCCACACUGGGACUGAGACACGGCCCAGACUCCUACGGGAGGCAGCAGUGGGGAAUUUUGGACAAUGGGCGAAAGCCUGAUCCAGCCAUGCCGCGUGCAGGAUGAAGGCCUUCGGGUUGUAAACUGCUUUUGUACGGAACGAAAAGACUCUGGUUAAUACCUGGGGUCCAUGACGGUACCGUAAGAAUAAGCACCGGCUAACUACGUG